UGCCGGAGCCAAGAAUCUUUGAAACAGAGGCACGUGAGUGAAUAAAGGGGGGUACUAGAAAUAUUUGUUUUGUUCUUUGUUGUGAAUAUCAGAAUGGGCUGUGUGUUCUCUGGCGAAGGGAAUAAUGAUAUCAUCCCGAGAGAUAGCCCUCUGGGAUUGAUAAUGAAAAAUUGGGUGUAUUUGGUCGGGGAGGAAUCGGGCCUUUCCAUGCCUAAGCUUAUUAGGCUGUCGGAGAGGAUGUGGCCGACGUAUCAAUUAGAUAAUGGAAAGACAUGGCCUAGAUUUGGGAGUGCAGAUCCAAAAUUGAUAUCAGAUUUGAUGUCCUGCCUGCGCUGGGACAGGGCUUUUGAGGAGUUAAAAUAUGCUCGGCUCUUUAUGGUGUUGGCUUGCGAACAGGACUUGGGUGAUAAGAAAGAAAAUAUAUUGGUCUUGGAGGGUAAAAAGAAAAAACUGACCAUUAACAACAUGUAUAGGAACCCAGAGGAGGCAGAGACCGAUCUGAUUGCACCUGCCAUGAGGGCAGGGCCGGUCCCAGCCGCGCUUGCAGCAGGCUCGGGCCCGGGGGCGGCCCCUUCCCCGACGUCCCCUCAGCCACCGUCGCGAGGGGGGGCGGCGGGGGGGCGGGCGGCUCGGGUCAGGCCCCGGACGGUGAAGAGGGAGGAAGGCGCGGACCGGCAGCGACGGGCACCGUCCCUGUCGCCACCUCCUUCGCCGCCCCAAGGGGCGGGGAAAGGGGGGAGAGGCUGUGGGGCUGUGCAGCCGCCCAGAGAAGGCAGGCAGAGGGAUAGGGCCUUUCACGGAGAGAGCAGGGAGGGAACUUCCCGAAGGGGGAGGGGUGCCUCCCCCGUCCUCAGGCCUGUGAGUUACUAUAGCAACCCCGAAGGCCAAGGAGCUGCCUCCGGGGAAGAUACCUUCAAGGGCAGUAGACACGCAGCACAGAGGGUUUGCCGCAGCAAGUCUUGUGUGACUCUUUCCAGAAUUGGGACUAGCCGAGCUGGGCAACUGGUUACAACCGAGUCUGACAGCUCUGAGGGGGAAGAAACUGAGGACGAAACUGAUGAGAUCAGUGCUGCCCCAAAUAGGCGAAGGAGGGGAAAGAUAGCUAGAAGAGCGAUUAGAGAGCGGAGCCCAAUUGCCCGACAUACUAGGAAAAAAAGAAAAGAAAGAGAGCCAGUUCUGCAAGCUCCGCUGAGACAAGCUGUCGGUAAUCAAGGGCCAGUAUAUGUGAAGGUCCCAUACUCCCUCAUAGAGUUAGAACAGUGGAAAACCACUGUGGGGAAGUAUAAGGAGAACCCAGAUAAAGUAGCACAACUAGUAGAGCGAGCUGUUAACUCCCAAAAUCCUGACUGGGUUGAUUUGAAUUCUGUGUUAGGCACAUUACUUGAUCCUACUGAGAGACGAAUGGUUAAUAAGGCAAUUACUACUUUCGUGGAAGGGGGCAUAGCUAGUGGACUGCUUCAAGGUACUGUCACUCAGAUAUUUCCGCUUGAAAAUCCAGAGUGGGAUCCGAAUGUACCAGGACAGAUGGAAAGGUUAAAACGAUACCAAAACCUUGUGGUAUAUGGGUUGAAGCAUGGUGUCCCUAAAGCUAUAAAUUGGUCAAAACUUUAUGAAGUGAGGCAAAAUUAUGAUGAAUCACCUACUGAUUUUUUAAACAGGUUAAGAGAAACUGCUAUCAAAUAUACUGAUCUAGACCCUGAAUCAGAUGAUGGGAAAGCACAUCUGGUUUUGCUGUUUAUGGGUCAAGCUACAAAUGAUAUAAGAAGAAAACUGCAAAAGAUAGAGGGAGUUCGAGAUCUAGAUAAACUUCUAGAAGUGGCCUGGAAAGUGUUUCGAGAUAGAGGUCCAAAUGAGAAAGGCCAAUUCCAACCUGGUAAGAAGGCAGCUCAGGAAAAGCCAUCCAAGAAAGCUCCCCCUGCAGAGAAAGACCAGUGUGCAUAUUGUAAGAAUUUGGGGCACUGGAAAAAGGACUGCCCAGUGUUGAAAGGAAAAUCCUCAGUCCCCCAACUCCCAGUAGUACAAACUUCAAGCGGCUCAGGAUCUGAAUGAUGGGGACCGAGGGUUAACCCCCCAGCAGAGCCCUCGGUUAUAGCUAAGCUGGGGAAUGAAGAUGUUGAAUUUUUGGUAGAUACUGGAGCUGCCUACUCCGCGUUAAAUACUUUAAAAGGGAAACUGAGUCACGAUACUGCACAUGUUAUCGGAGCAACCGGGGUAAGCGAAACACGGCCUUUCUUUGAACCUUUAGACUUUGAAUUGGGAAAGCAUUUGGUAAACCACCAAUUCCUCUAUAUGCCUACCUCCCCUAGACCAUUGAUGGGGAGGGACUUACUAGAAACAUUGGAAGUAGAAAUUAAGUUUAAAAAGGGAAAGGGUGUACAAGUUAUAAUCCCUGAAUCCAAACUUGUUCAAGUUGCUGCACUUUUCAUGCAGGAAAGACAUAAUGAAAUCCCUGCUGAAGUUGGGAAGGAGGUAAAUCCAAUAGUGUGGGCUGGUGAUAUCCCAGGAAGAUCCAAACGGGCAGAACCAGUGAUCGUUACACUCAAACCGGGAGCUACACCAGUAAGGCAAAAGCAAUACCCUUUGAAAUUAGAGAGCCGUAAGAGACUAAUGCCUAUAAUUGAAAAAUUCUUAGAACAUGGUUUAUUAGUGCAAUGUGAGUCUAAAUUUAACACUCCCAUUUUAGUUAUUAGGAAAGCUGAUGGUAAGAGUUACCGAUUAGUACAAGAUCUAAGAGCAAUUAAUAAGAUUACAGAGGACAUACACCCAGUAGUAGCCAAUCCCUAUACCCUUUUGACUACGCUGACAGACGAGUUAGGGUGGUUUACUGUGGUGGACCUGAAGGAUGCCUUUUUUUGCAUUCCUGUGCAUAAAAACAGCCAAGAGCUUUUUGCUUUUGAGUGGGAAAACCCUCAGACAGGGAGAAAAAGUCAACUUACCUGGUCAGUUUUACCACAGGUAUUUAAGUGCCUGCCAACUAUAUUUGGAAACCAGCUAGCAAAGGAAUUAGAGGACUGGAAAAGACAGGAGCCGAAAGCAGUUAUUCUACAGUACGUAGACGACAUCUUGAUCGCAGCCGGAACCAGAGAGGACUGUAUACAACUUACUGUAAGUUUGUUAAAUUUCUUAGGACUGAGUGGGUAUAGAGUUUCAAAAGACAAAGCACAGAUUGCUAAAGAAACGGUAGUUUAUUUGGGACUUGAGAUUUUUCGUGGACAUCGACAGCUCAGCAAAGAACGGAAAGAAGCCAUCUGUCGACUCCCAGAGCCCCACACUACAAGGGAAAUGCAAGCCUUCCUGGGAAUGGUAGGUUGGUGUCGGUUGUGGAUAGCAAACUAUGGGCUGCUGGUAAAACCCUUAUAUGAAGCCUUAAAGGAUGCUGAGAGAGGGAUUAUCAUAUGGACUGAAAAAAGCAGAGCAGCUUUUAAACAGCUGAAGCACUCUCUGAUGUCAGCUCCGGCGCUGGGUCUGCCAGACUUAACUAAACCUUUCGAACUGUUCACAUAUGAAAGACUGAAUAUGGCUUUGGGGGUACUAGCACAGCGGCUCGGGAACUCAACGGAGGGCUGUGGCCUACUUCUCUAAACAACUAGACCAUGUUGCCCAAGGCUGGCCAGGGUGCCUGAAGGCUGUGGCAGCCACUGUCAUCCUGAUUCAAGAAGCCUGAAAGCUCACCCUUGGGCAACACAUUGUGGUGUAUGUACCCCAUGCUGUAGAAGCUGUACUUGAGCAAAAGGGAGUACAUUGGUUAUCUGGUAGCUGGAUGCUUAAGUAUCAAGCACUGCUGCUAGAGCAGGAUGACGUUACUUUGAAAACCACUUCUGUCGUUAACCUGGCUAUGUUUUUGUCUCCCACUUUAAUUGACGGUAUGCCUGAGCAUGACUGCUUACAAACAAUUGAAGAAGUCCAUUCUAGUCGACCAGAUCUGAAGGACAGGCCCCUAGAAGAUCCAGAUUGGGAACUCUUCACAGAUGGGAGUAGCUUUGUGAAAAAUGGUAUAAGAAUGACUGGCUAUGCUGUGACCACACAGGACAAGGUGAUUGAGGCCAAGGCCCUGCCGGCAGAUGUAUCAUCGCAGAAGGCUGAAUUGAUUGCGCUGACAAGGGCCUUAGACUUGAGUGAAGGAAUGAAGAUCCAUAGGAUUGGAUACACCUGUACAUCCUUUCCAACCUGGAGAUUGGGUGUAUGUUAGUGGUGGGACAGUGAUCCUUUACAAGCCAAAUGGAAGGGACCAUUUCAAGUCCUGCUGACCACCUUCACCGCAGUAAAAGUCGCUGGCCAAGGACCAUGGAUCCACUACUCCAGAAUUAAGAAGGCUUCUGCCCCUGAGAUAAUUGCGACAACAAAGACUGAUGCAAAUGAUAAUACGUUGUAAAUGAAUUCUUUUCUGUAGUCGUGCAUUUCUGUACCCGAGCAGGUGUUUCCAUAUAAGGAAGUGAAGCUAGAAUUUUCUAUAGCCUGCUCGCUGUAAUUGGCUUGGUCCCAGCACAGACACAGUGAUAGGACUGUAGAAGUGCACCUCAAAGUCUAGUGUCCAUCUCAUUGGGCCAAGAGCCAAAAAAGCCCACCUAGACCAUCGAGUACUAAAGGGCCUGCAUAAGGGUACACGAGGCUUUUUGGGAGUGCCUUAGCCUGUGUAACUUUGCUUGGUACACGGUGCUCGGCUUAUGUCUUUUCAUUUUGUAACGUUUAUUAUUUUUCCUGUUAUUAAAACUUUAUUUUACAAAGCAUAUCCUGGGAAGCCGUCUCGCUAUUUUAUUAAGCCAUUUCUCCGCUGGCUGGACCCUCGGAGUUAUCGGGAGAAACCCCGAUAAAUGGCACCUUCGAACAGGGACCCUACAUUAGGGUAACUGAAUCGAAGUUUGCUGACAGUGCCCUCACGUUCAGCUAGGCCAUUUUGCUCUUGGUUUCGUUUUUUUAAAAGCGAGCUCGUGGUGGUUUUUUUAGUCGUGAAAAUAAAACCACAUUUUUGGGUCAAAAAGGCUGAGAGGGAGCCUUUUGACUGAACCCCUAUACCGGUGAGAGGGGGUCUUUGCCGGACACCGAUUCUGGUACAAGGUGGAUUACUCUUUAGAAGAGAGAAGCUGCAGUCUAGCAGAGCUGGAGACAGAGAACAGCUAAUCACCGAGUGACCUGAGAGAGUCGGAGACAACCAAGAGCUGCCGGGAGAUCACAAGAGCCAUUCUGGUGAGUGACAAUGGGGACCCGGCAAUCCGUAGAACAGCGAGACACCUUUUGUUAUUUUAAUUAUAAACUGACUAUUCAAGACUAUAAGUUUGAGAGGAAAGAACUUAAAAAACUUGUGAAAUGGGUCUAUAAGAAGUAUCCGGACACUAAUACAGCUGAAACAGUAACAGUGGAAUUUUGGGACAAAAUAGGAUUGAAGUUGUAUAAUUCAAAGAAAAAAUCUGUGUUAAAAUUAAGACCCAUCUUUAAAACUGUGUUAGACUUUGUAACAGAAGAAGGCGAAAGGCUCAGCAGUGAAAAAACACUUGAAACUGCAGAAAGAGAAACCUUGGGAAAAGCCUCUAAAAGCAACCAUAAAAAAGGAGCCCAGAAAGUAAAAUGCAAAAAGGCUCCUACUCACCUUAGACAUGAAGAUAAAAAUCCAAGUUCUGAUGCCCCAAGUCCCAGAAAAAACCGGUUUGAUUUACUCCCGAGGAGAAGGCACGGGGCGGCUCAAAGCCCUCCCCCGAGCCGUCCUCAGACCCCCAGAGUGGGACCUGUGCCAGCCGUGGCCAAGCAGGCAAAGAUUCCAUUCCAACCGCCCUCCCCACCCCCUCAGUCACCCAGUACGAGAUACGGGCGAUCCCGGUCCGUUAAUUUUGAGCGCGCGAGUUUUAAACAAAGCCCUGAAAGCGCGGGCUCACAGAACAAAGAAAAACGUGGAAUCCUCCCCAUCUCUGAGGCAGAGGCUGCAGCUCCACGUGGGCGGGCUCAGUACAGCCCGACGCUGCGGCACGCUCCAUCUGAUGUGUCGCUCAGCUCCUCCCACUCCAGCACGGGAGGCUCCCCCUCCAUGGGCAGUGCCAAGCCUCGGGCACCGCCCCGGGUUGCCACCCACAGCCUGGACAGACACGCCCUGGCUGUGACGAGCGUGGGAACCGGAUGUGACAUCCCGGAACUUGCCCUCCCCAAGAUGGCGGCGCCCAUGCCGGAGAAAUGUAAACAAACUCCGAUGAAAAAUCAGAAGGUUUCCCACACGUCCUGCAGUUUCUCUGAUGAUUCAGAGGAUUCAUCAGCCAGCAUAGAUCCCUGGCACAACAUAAAGAAAGAAACCAGCACCCCAGAGCCAGCCCGGCUCUGGCGACAAGAGACCAAAACAAAACAAAAACAAGGACAGAGCAAGACUGAAGCAGUGAAAGUUUAUCAUCGUCUAAAACCUUCCAAGAAAACAGAACAGAGACAGCUAACAGUUCAAUUCCAGCAGCCAAGAUACAAAGUAGACUUCGUCCAAAAGAAGUCUGUCAUGAAAACCACCACAAGAAUCCACCAAAGCAGCAGGCUCAAAAUACCUUAAAACCCUGACCUAUUCUUUUAUUUUGCAGUUUUAACAAGAAACCCAGAACUUUGUAAGUUAAUUUUUUCAUUAAGAUCUCAAAAAGACUACCAAGUAAUUCCAAAACAAAAGGUUUUUCUUUUCUGUUUUGUCAAUUAAGCAAGAAGAUUGUAAUAACUUACCCAAAAAUUUAUAUUCCAAACUAAUUAUAAAAGCGAAUUCCUAAAUAAUUUUUCCUUUACAGGAAAAGAUUCUGCAAAAAUAUUUUGCUUGCUCAUAUCUUUAAUUGAAAUAGUUAAUUCAAAAUUCAAAAGUUUUUAAAAAUGGCCCAUAUAAAUAUUACAAAAAAAAAAAAAAAAUUAUUAAAUUCAUCUCUAUAAUUAAAUUGAAAACCUUUCAAAAUUCAUACUCCUCUAAAAAAAAUUCGUUUUAUAAAUAAGCCAAGAAAAUCUAAAAUCUCAUAACCAUGUAGUGAAAUCCUAACACCAAAAAAUAAAAAUCAGAUUUUAAGAAAGUCUAAAAACUAUAUCUCAAAACCAAAAAAGAACAACUGUCUACAUGUUUUUCAAAGUUCAUAUUUUAUGUUUACAAAUUUUUAUGUUGCAAGUUUAGUAGAGGGAGCAGAGACCUCUCAAGAAAAAGUUCUAGUCAAUUGUAAAAUUCACAUUAAAAUACUAAUCUUUUUCCUUUUUUCUCAACAGCAACUGUAUUGUGUCACAUGUUAAAGCAAACACUAAACUCCUAAGUUUUAUAGCAAAUAGCAACGUAACAGCAAACUUUUAACCAUACAUCAAAAUACAUCAGCUCUUGUAAAAAGUGUCGCAUAUAUCUCAAAGUCAAAUUAAGACAAUUGUGCAACCAUACCCAAACUACCAAACACUAACUACGCCAUCAAUAGCAGCAAAAGUUAACCCUCAAAAUUAAAAACAAGUAUCAUGCAAUAUCAACCAUUUAAACAAUUCAAACAAAUUCACUUGUCUAACCACACACUUUUUAAAGUAUGCUCUACCUCAACACAUAAAGGAGAAAAAGACCAAAAAAGACAAUUAAAACAUCUCUUGUAAACAUUUCUCAUUCCUAAAUGUACAGUUCUUAAAAUUACAGAAGUUUUUCAACAUAUCAAAUUUACCACAUAUUAUAACUAAUUCAUUCAAAAGCCAAUCUAUUGUUAAAAAACACACAAACAGCUAAAAAUGCUCUUUAAAAGAUAAAAAUGGGAAAGGGCAUAGUGCUUUCUAUUAUAGAAAGGUUGAACAAAGUUAUAUAUAUGUUUUUUAAUCUCUCAUAUUCAUAAAAAUUCUGAAAACAAGACAAAUUUUAGAGCCUGUCCUUUAUGGCAGGGAGAGAGGUUUUGUUUGUCUCCACAGGUACAGACUCUAAGAAAGUUCCUGCAAAAGAAGUUGAGUCACAACUACAAAAGAAGAAAGGAGAGCAGAACACACCUCAAGAAGAGCAUGCAAAAGGACCCAGAGUGACCACAGACUGUGUCUUCAAAAAGACUUCUGCAUUUUGACACAGCCCAGCACUAUAAACACUGAAAUACAUUUGAAACAGAGACUUAAGUUUUAUAAAAGUUGCACUGUUAAAAUUUUUGAAGUUAUUAUUGUCAUGUCACAAUUGUUCGUUGUUGUAUGUUAAAAGUUAUUGUCAAAUCUUUAUGCAAAAGAAAAAGAAAAUAUAGUUCACUUGAAAAAAUCUCCCCAGACAAAAAGUAAAAUAAGAUUCAUAUGUAAUUUGAGACUAAAUAUUAAUUUUAAAGAUUGGCUAAUAAAAAGGAAGUACCAAAUUUAAAAUUUUGUAAUCCAUAAAACUAUAGCUUAACUAUAAACCAAAUUGUUAAAUAACAAUAAGUUAUUGACACAAUCACAAUUAUGAACAAAAGUGAGAAUUUUUUCAAAGUAACUAUUUCUCUUUUUUUUUCUUUUUUUAAUAUGAUUUUACAGGGUGAGAUGUAGUCGUGCAUUUCUGUACCCGAGCAGGUGUUUCCAUAUAAGGAAGUGAAGCUAGAAUUUUCUAUAGCCUGCUCGCUGUAAUUGGCUUGGUCCCAGCACAGACACAGUGAUAGGACUGUAGAAGUGCACCUCAAAGUCUAGUGUCCAUCUCAUUGGGCCAAGAGCCAAAAAAGCCCACCUAGACCAUCGAGUACUAAAGGGCCUGCAUAAGGGUACACGAGGCUUUUUGGGAGUGCCUUAGCCUGUGUAACUUUGCUUGGUACACGGUGCUCGGCUUAUGUCUUUUCAUUUUGUAACGUUUAUUAUUUUUCCUGUUAUUAAAACUUUAUUUUACAAAGCAUAUCCCGGGAAGCCAUCUCGCUAUUUUAUUAAGCCAUUUCUCCGCUGGCUGGACCCUCGGAGUUAUCGGGAGAAAUCUCGAUACUUUUCUAUGUUUAAUUACUGUUUUCUUUACAUUUCUGGCUGGGUAAGACAAUUUUUGUUAGAUACUCUUACUGUUAGAUAUUUAUUUUUCGCUAGAUAUUGGUUGCUAUUUAGGUAGAGACUGGACAAGGUAGAGGCCUUGUCAAGCCUCUAAAAGGGGGGAAACUGAUGCCUUAGGGCUGGGUUUUUCUGUUUUGUCUGAUAGCACUGAGUGGUGCUAGGAUCUUCACGGGGUGAUGGGGGUAGGGCAGUCUUGUUCAAGGACAUUGUCUCCAAGCUCCAGGCCCGAGCAUAAACAACCUGGAAGAGAAGGGCAGGUUGAGAGGAGGGUGUUCGGUGAUUCGGGGUUAUUGAUUGGACGGUGCAUUGCUAUAUGCAAAUGAAUGGAAACUUGUAAAAGGGGUAAGAUCUGGGGACAAGCCCCUUUUUCGUCUCCAUCUUGGAAAUAUUCGGGCUGGGCCACUUCUGUGGGUCUGGAGACGCAAGGGCAUGGGCUUGAAUAAACACUCAUUUUGUUCCUUUCACUCUGUCUAGCCUCUG